AUGUUCCAUUUGCUAUCAAAUCUGCCUAUGGCUUUCCAUUUACAAACUUUGCAGUAACAUGAACCAAAUGACAUCUACCAGACAGUAGUAUCCAUAUGGUUGUAGAACAUGUUGAUCAUCUUAUGUUUGAUUUUAUUUCCUUGAUCAUGCUUUGCGAGUUACUGGAGCAACAAAAACCCAGUGAUAAUAAAAAAAUUAAAAUAAAGGGGAAAAUUUUUGGGAUUUACCUCCUUGUGUUCUCUCCAUGUCAAUGGUUUCAACAAUCACACUUUGCAGUCCGUCAAUUUUGGAUCAGUUUCGAUUUAGGGGUUAGAGUGCAAGGGGAUUUGGGAAUUUCAGGUUUCAGAUAUGCAUUGGUUUUUGGUGAUGGAGG
rnacentral:lncRNA from 1 species